rnacentral:lncRNA from 1 species
CUUUAAUCCUAGGACUCAGGAUUAAGAGGUAGGCGGAUCUCUGAGUUCAAGGCCACCCAGAGAUACAUGAGAUUGAAUCAGUCUAAAACAGUAACAGAUCACAUGCCUUUUUGUUUCUCUGUGGCUUUGGAGGCUGACCUGGAACUCACUCUGUAGACCAGGCCGGUCUCGAACUCACAGAGAUCCACCUGCCUCCUCCUCUUGAGUGCUAGGAUUAAAGGCAUGUGUCACCACCGCCCAGCCAGAUCACAUGCCUUUAAUCCCAGUACUAGAGGGGUAUAAAGAUAGACUCAGGGUCUUCAGUAUUCAGUAGGUGUCAUUCAUUCUCCAGCCACACUGAAGAUAGAAAGGCUCAUUAUCAAGGAGGAUAGGAAGACAUUGAAGUCUCAGGAUUCUCCAGCCACUCUGCCUGAAGCAGUUUGAAGCUUGGUGUUCAUGCGUGGAUCAGCCCUUUCAGCCUGGGGUAGUGCCAUGUGGUCAUCAAGGCUGCCUUCCAGGGAGUAAGGAGGCAUCACCCUGCCAAGCUGCAGGGGCACAUGGCAGAGAGCUGGAGCUUCUGGGAGGAAAGAAUCUGUUCAAGAGGAGGACCCCAUGUCCAGGAAACUGUGUAAGUGGACGUUUCUUUUCACCUGCCA